GUCUGGAGCGCCGUCCUGCUGCCCCCGCCCUUCCUUUCUCGUGCUCCCGGCCGGCGGCCUCCUCUUUCCCCAAGUUUCCACGUGUGGGAAAUGGGGGUAAUGGCCGGGGGGUCGGCCCGUUCCCGGCUGGGUGACUUUGGGCAGGUUCACACUUCGAAGUGCACACUUGCGUGAAAAACGAUGGUUGUGGGAGGUCAGCGCAUGUGUGCGUUCACGUUAGCGAUCAACAAACGAUUCAGGAUUCUGAGAUCUGCUUUUCUUCGUUGGAAGAGGAGUCGGUAUUCACACCGCCCUGCAUGAAGCCUGUCCUGUCAGGCUCCACAUCCAACACGGAGCCCAAUGCAAGACUUGAACUCAUGACCCUGAGAUCAAGACCUGAGCUGAGGUCAAGAGUCAGAUGUUUAACCCAGAAACAAAAGUGAUGUGACCACAGAGCUGACACAUUUCAAGAUGCUGGCAUUAAAAACCAGAGCGAUGCAGCCACAAACCAAGGAGAAACAGCCGACACCAGAAGCUGGAAGAGUCAGGGAACAGUGUCUCCCCUGGAGCCCCCAGAAGGAGUACAGCCCUGUCAACACCUUACUUUGCCCCAGUGAUACUGAUUUUGGACUCCGGGCCCCCAGAACUGAGAGAAUAAAUUUCUGUUUGUUUUAAGCCACCAAGUCUGUGGUAAUUUGCCACAAGAGCUUUAGGAGACCAGUCUACCAUGUAGAACCAGCCACGUGCCCCCAUCUGUCUGGCUCAGGUAGGCAGCCCGGGAUUGGAGGGAGCCUCCCUGCCAAUGUCAGGUGAGCCCAGCACUGCUUACAGUAAGCACUCAGGAGAAGCACUCCCCUUCCCCCCAGGGAGACAUGGGGUGAGCAGGUGGAACAGUCAGGAAGGGCCUUGGCAGAAGAAGCAACCACAGCAGGGCUGACACUUCCCUCCCUACCACGAGACACGGGGCAGCGAGGCCUGGGGAAACCCCUUCUAGCCCCCGAAGACCCAGUGAUACCAGAUAAACCACAAUGAGCAAAAUAAUACAGCGAAGGCUCUGAACACUAAGCUGUCAUUGGAACCACAGCUCCCCAAAAUAGUCCAGCACCUGCACGGUAAACCUGAACAGGGUGCCUGCCUGCUAAAAUAAAGGGUUUGAAUAGGACCCGGGGUUCCCAAACAUAAUAGACAAGAUGACAAGGAUAUGCCUAAAAUCACCCACCCUAAUAAGAACCCAGAAAACCGCAACUUGAGUGAGAAAAACAAAUCGAUUGACUCUAGUACUGAGAUGAAUCCGAUGUUGGAAUUAUCCGAGAAGGUCUGAAAGCAACCAUCAUUUAAAACGAUUUUUUUUAAUGUUUACUUACUUCUGAGAAAGAGAGAGAGAGAGACAGAGCAUGAGCAGGGGAGGGGCAGAAAGAGAGGGAGACACAGAAUCCAAAGCAGGCUCCAGGCUCUGAGCUGUUAGCGUAGAGCCCGACGCGGGGCUCCAACUCAUAAGCCCUGAGAUCAUGACCUGAGCCGAAGUUGGACGUUCAACCACCUAAGCCACUCAGGCGCUCCUGAAAGCAGCCAUCCUAAAAAUGCUUCAACAAUCAAUUAGAAAUUGCCUUGAAAUGAAGGGAAAAAAUAGAUGAUAAUCUCAGCAAUGAAAUAGACAUUAUAGAAAAGCAGUAAAAAGAGCUGUUAGUAAGAACUAUGUUAAAUUUAAUAUGGAUACAGAUGGUUACGUGCAGAAAUAUUUAUGGCUAUGUGUAUAUUACAGAUUAGUAUACACACAUAUAUUUCUUUGCUCUGUUGGCUGCCAGGGCCUAAAAGACACGCAAAGAGCAAGAACACACUUAGCACCCAGACCUUGGUUUCUA